rnacentral:rRNA from 1 species
GACGAACGCUGGCGGCGUGCUUAACACAUGCAAGUCGAACGGAAAGGCCCUGCUCUUGUGGGGUGCUCGAGUGGCGAACGGGUGAGUAACACGUGAGUAACCUGCCCUUGACUUUGGGAUAACUUCAGGAAACUGGGGCUAAUACCGGAUAGGAGCUCCUGCUGCAUGGUGGGGGUUGGAAAGUUUCGGCGGUUGGGGAUGGACUCGCGGCUUAUCAGCUUGUUGGUGGGGUAGUGGCUUACCAAGGCUUUGACGGGUAGCCGGCCCGAGAGGGUGACCGGCCACAUUGGGACUGAGAUACGGCCCAGACUCCUACGGGAGGCAGCAGUGGGGAAUAUUGCACAAUGGGCGGAAGCCUGAUGCAGCAACGCCGCGUGCGGGAUGACGGCCUUCUGGUUGUAAACCGCUUUCGCCUGUGACGAAGCGUGAGUGACGGUAAUGGGUAAAGAAGCACCGGCUAACUACGUG